AAAGAGUAAGAAACUUUAGUGUGUGUACCUUUUGUAUCAGGGGAAGUUAAAAGUGUAAGUAAUAAAGGAUCGAUUUAAGCAGAGCUUCAUACAAAAUAGCUAUAGUUAAAUUUAUAGCUUUAAUAGAUUAUGUGGUGAAAAAUGUACGGUGCUUAUGGUAACUAUUUGUUUUUUUAUUGAAGGGUAAGCUUUCAUUGACUUAAUUGUGUAAAAGGUAUAGGGAAUUAGGCUUUGUAUUAGCCAGAUUAUUAAAUUGUUUUAAAUAACCUAAUAGUGUAAUAUAAAUCUUAAGGUUAAAAGACUCGGCCUAUUAACUUGGGUAGGCCUGAAUAAUGAGUUUAUUGAAUAUAAGAUGAAAUACUUAAAUAACUCAAAGUAAGUUAGAAUGUUUAGCAAAAACAUUUUCUUUUGAUGUAAGUAAGAUAAGACCUGCCCGGUGAUUUUUAACGGCUGCGGUAUUUUGACUGUGCUAA
rnacentral:rRNA from 1 species